ensembl:lncRNA
GAGAAUGUCCUGGUGAGGGAAGGUGUGAGGAAGAGGAGAGAGGGGAGGAAGGCUUUGAAAGGGUAGUCAAGAAAGCCUGGAAACUGCAAGGCUAUUUCAGGAAUGAUUAACUGAUAAUUGGCCAAUGACGUGCUAGACAGGUCCAGUUAUGCAAAUCGAGCCUGGGAAUUUAAAGAAGCUUUGCACCAGUCAUCUGAGCUUAGGGAAUUAGAGCUUCUGACCUCCAGGACAAUGGGAAGUCCUUAUUUCUGAGCAGUGGUCAUAGGUGUUGAAGGACUGCUGAAGGGGAUGAGAGGAGCGGAGGGCAACACGGACCGUGAUUCAUUCCCCUUUCACGAGUUUCAUACUAAAUUGAAUUGAAUUAAGUGGGAUGUAUUAAUGAGAAGAUGAUAGAACUGAUUUAUCCAGAGAACUCAUUCUCACCCAUGCAGUCAAACACUGGGUGAAACAUUAGAUUGUGGCCUCUGAGCCAGUUGUAAUUUCAGAAGAAAAAAUGACAUAUAGUUCAGACUCAACUUAUUUUGUAAUUUGUAAAAUUUCUUUUAGUUGGUUCCUUUUCUCCCCUUUGUUCUGUUCUAGGACUUUACACCAAGAGGUAUGUGGACACCAUUCUUGGCCCUGGGACAACGGACAAGAAGGGUAAUAGGGAUCAAGCACCGUAUUCGUGACAAGCACAGAACAGCGUAUUCAUGCUGGAGACUGUAUUCUUUUACGGAUGCAAUUAGGAUCUGAGAC